rnacentral:rRNA from 1 species
AUGCAAGUGGUAGGAAGCCGAAGGUGACGACCCUCGGGUAGGCUUGCACAGGUGCUGCAUGGCUGUCGUCAGCUCGUGUCGUGAGAUGUUCGGUUAAGUCCGCUAACGAGCGCAACCCUCGCUGUGUGUUAUAUGUGUCACACGGGACUGCCGGUCUUAAGCCGGAGGAAGGUGGGGAUGAUGUCAAGUCAGCAUGGCCUUUAUAUCCUGGGCUACACACACGCUACAAUGGCCAACACAAUAGGUUGCUAAGCCGCGAGGUGGCGCCAAUCCAUAAAGUUGGUCUCAGUUCAGAUUGUAGGCUGCAACCCGCCUGCAUGAAGAUGGAGUUGCUAGUAACCGCAGGUCAGCUAUACUGCGGUGAAUACGUUCCCGGGCCUU